rnacentral:tRNA from 1 species
UCCCUGAUGGUCCAGUGGUUAGGACUUGAUGCUUUCACUGCUGUGGGCCUGGGUUCGAUCCCUGGUUGAGGAA